rnacentral:misc_RNA from 1 species
AACGGUCUAUACCUGCGGUACCUGCGGAGGGAUCAUUACCGAGUUAUACAACUCCCAAACCCACUGUGAACCUUACCUCAGUUGCCUCGGCGGGAACGCCCCGGCCGCCUGCCCCCGCGCCGGCGCCGGACCCAGGCGCCCGCCGCAGGGACCCCAAACUCUCUUGCAUUACGCCCAGCGGGCGGAAUUUCUUCUCUGAGUUGCACAAGCAAAAACAAAUGAAUCAAAACUUUCAACAAU